UUGACAGAGAUACAGAAGAAGAAGCCUGUAUUUGUCCUCAUGUCCCUGUAAUCCUGAAGGUUUUGGACAGACUCUGGUUGCUCCGCAGGGUUGGGAAAAUGCUGUGUGAGUGAGGAAACGACAGAUGUGAUUCAGAGCCUGUUCUUUGCUUAAACUGCAUGUUUCCAGUAGAGGUUUGUGUAAGAUAUCUUAAUUGUGAAAAGAAGUGUGCAUAUUGGACAUCAGAAAACGUGUUCAAUAAAGAGAUAUAUUAAUGAGUGUUUUCCUGUGGGACAGUUUCCUGCUGACUCUGUGCCUGUCACACGAAGCUGCCGUCUCUCAGUGAGCUCAUUGGGCUGAUAACAGACAUCUGUCUUGAAGGCUUCAAGAACUUCUCAGUCAAGCCCUGAAAAUCAAGUCCUAGACUCCAGUACUACAACACCAAUGAUGUAGAGCAUAAACGAGCCCUAACAGAGACUGCUAUGAAUGAGAGCUUGGUCAUAAUAGACAAGGGCCUCAUGGGAUGUCUGAGCUCCUCACUGUAUGUCAAAUAGACAACUACGCCCUAACAGUUGACUGCAAUUGAAUAUCAACUUGCUAAGGAGCAUUGUUGUUUAUUUGAUGAUAAAGCUGUUAUGUGAACAUGAAGUUAAUUUUGUCACCAUCAAUCCCAAUGACAGACAUAAACUAAACUAAGAUGCAUUCAUGAAGAAUCUUGUUGUGUCUCUGUGUUGUGUUUCAAAAGCUGUUGUAACCAUGACAACCAUGCAAAUAAAAUCAUGAAUGAA